AUUGAACGCUGGCGGCAUGCCUUACACAUGCAAGUCGAACGGUAACGCGGGGCAACCUGGCGACGAGUGGCGAACGGGUGAGUAAUGUAUCGGAACGUGCCCAGUUGUGGGGGAUAACUGCUCGAAAGAGCAGCUAAUACCGCAUACGACCUGAGGGUGAAAGCGGGGGAUCGCAAGACCUCGCGCAAUUGGAGCGGCCGAUAUCAGAUUAGGUAGUUGGUGAGGUAAAGGCUCACCAAGCCGACGAUCUGUAGCUGGUCUGAGAGGACGACCAGCCACACUGGGACUGAGACACGGCCCAGACUCCUACGGGAGGCAGCAGUGGGGAAUUUUGGACAAUGGACGCAAGUCUGAUCCAGCCAUGCCGCGUGCGGGAAGAAGGCCUUCGGGUUGUAAACCGCUUUUGUCAGGGAAGAAACGCUCUGGGUUAAUACCUCGGGGUAAUGACGGUACCUGAAGAAUAAGCACCGGCUAACUACGUGCCAGCAGCCGCCGUAA
rnacentral:rRNA from 1 species